GGGUUAAUGUUCAUAUCACUAAGGUGUUAAUCCCCUCCUAAACAGCUGGGGUUAAUGUUCAUAUCACUAAGGUGUUAAUCCCCUCCUAAACAGCUGGGGUUAAUGUUCAUAUCACUAAGGUGUGAUGCCCCUCCUAAACAGCUGGGGUUAAUGUUCCUAUCACUAAGGUGUGAUGCCUCUCCUAAACAGCUGGGGUUAAUGUUCAUAUCACUAAGGUGUUAAUCCCCUCCUAAACAGCUGGGGUUAAUGUUCAUAUCACUAAGGUGUGAUGCCUCUCCUAAACAGCUGGGGUUAAUGUUCAUAUCACUAAGGUGUGAUGCCUCUCCUAAACAGCUGGGGUUAAUGUUCCUAUCACUAAGGUGUGAUGCCCCUCCUAAACAGCUGGGGUUAAUGUUCAUAUCACUAAGGUGUGAUGCCCCUCCU